CCUCCUGUGAUGAUUUUAACAGCAUGACUUUCGUUCUUCUGAGUAUACUGAAGUCAACCCUCCUGUUCUGAGGAGG